UUAGAGCCACCCUUGUUUUUGUGGACAACGUGUAGCCAAGAAAGUGGGAAAAAAGAAAAAAACAAAAAGAAAAGAGAAGAAGUUCAGGAGAAAGACAAAGGCCUCAGAGAAAUAAGAAAGGGAAGGCGGAGCAGAGAGAGUUAUGGAAACAAUUGAUUGAAGAAAUUACUCGCAUUGAUCAAAAUCAAUUGCUUUCAAGCUUUCAAGAAAGUUUUGAAUUUGGACAAUAAUAUUCAGAGGUAAAUUUUCUUGACUUUGAUUUUUGUUAUUGUUUCUAAGAAUUAAUUGAAAUCAUUCUGAAUUUCUUUUAUUGGGAUUAUAUAUAUAUAUUGUUAGGUUUUGAUAUGAACAGAUCUUCAUGGUCCUCUUAUU
rnacentral:lncRNA from 1 species